GGCGGACGGGUGGAGUAAUGUCUGGGAAACUGCCUGAUGGAGGGGGAGUAACUACUGGAAACGGUAGCUAAUACCGCAUAACGUCGCAAGACCAAAGAGGGGGACCUUCGGGCCUCUUGCCAUCGGAUGUGCCCAGAUGGGAUUAGCUAGUAGGUGGGGUAAAGGCUCACCUAGGCGACGAUCCCUAGCUGGUCUGAGAGGAUGACCAGCCACACUGGAACUGAGACACGGUCCAGACUCCUACGGGAGGCAGCAUG
rnacentral:rRNA from 1 species